rnacentral:rRNA from 1 species
UUGUAUUAUUAUCUUAGUUUAAUAACUAAAAUGGUUUGGCAGUGAGUGAUUCUUUUUAGGGGAAGGUGUGGUUUAAAGGAUGUUCCGCCUAUUAAUUUACUUUUAUUAUGUUGGUGUAUAUCUGGUUUAAUAUUAUUGUUUAAUAAUUUAAUUUGUGGAGGGGAUUAGUUAAGCCAAGUCUAUGUGCUGCUUAUAAAAGUAUUCAUGCGUUACAUUAAUAAAAGUAUAACUGUAAGGUUAUAUAAUUUAGGACUUAAUAGUAAUAUUUAAUUAAUUUGUAAAUGUGAAGAAAGUUUUAGCUCASGUACACACCGCCCGUCA